rnacentral:rRNA from 1 species
UGGGGAAUAUUGCACAAUGGGCGCAAGCCUGAUGCAGCCAUGCCGCGUGUGUGAAGAAGGCCUUCGAGUUGUAAAGCACUUUCAGCGAGGAGGAAGGUGGUGAGCUUAAUACGCUCAUCAAUUGACGUUACUCGCAGAAGAAGCACCGGCUAACUCCGUGCCAGCAGCCGCGGUAAUACGGAGGGUGCAAGCGUUAAUCGGAAUUACUGGGCGUAAAGCGCACGCAGGCGGUUUGUUAAGUCAGAUGUGAAAUCCCCGGGCUCAACCUGGGAACUGCAUUUGAAACUGGCAAGCUAGAGUCUCGUAGAGGGGGGUAGAAUUCCAGGUGUAGCGGUGAAAUGCGUAGAGAUCUGGAGGAAUACCGGUGGCGAAGGCGGCCCCCUGGACGAAGACUGACGCUCAGGUGCGAAAGCGUGGGGCAGCAAACAGGAUUAGAUACCCUGGUAGUCCACGCUGUAAAACGAUGUCGAUUUUGGAGGUUGUGCCCUUGAGGCGUGGCUUCCGGAGCUAACGCGUUAAAUCGACCGCCUGGGGAGUACGGCCGCAAGGUU